AAGAUGUUCCGCUGCAAACAUAUAGGUUGUGCAAGAGCGUCUG
rfam:Bacillus sp. 2_A_57_CT2 genomic scaffold supercont1.1, whole genome shotgun sequence.